GACGAACGCUGGCGGCGUGCUUAACACAUGCAAGUCGAGCGAGGCCCUCCUUCGGGAGGUGUCCUAGCGGCGAACGGGUGAGUAACACGUGGGCAACCUGCCCCCGGCUCUGGGAUAACUCCAAGAAAUUGGGGCUAAUACCGGAUAUGACCGCUGACCGCAUGGUCUGGUGGUGGAAAGAUUUAUCGGCUGGGGAUGGGCCCGCGGCCUAUCAGCUUGUUGGUGGGGUAGUGGCCUACCAAGGCGACGACGGGGAGCCGGCCUGAGAGGGUGACCGGCCACACUGGGACUGAGACACUGCCCAGACUCCUACGGGAGGCAGCAGUGGGGAAUAUUGCGCAAUGGGCGGAAGCCUGACGCAGCGACGCCGCGUGGGGGAUGACGGCCUUCGGGUUGUAAACCUCUUUCAGCAGGGACGAAGCGCAAGUGACGGUACCUGCAGAAGAAGCACCGGCCAACUACGUGCCAGCCGCCGCGGUAACAC
rnacentral:rRNA from 1 species